GACGAACGCUGGCGGCGUGCUUAACACAUGCAAGUCGAACGGAAAGGCCCUGCCUUUGUUGGGUGCUCGAGUGGCGAACGGGUGAGUAACACGUGAGUAACCUUCGCUUGACUUUGUGAUAACUGCAGGUAACUGUGGCUAAUGCUAGAUAGUAGCUCCUGCUGCUUGGUGUUGGUUGGAAAGUGGCGGCGGGUUGGGAUGGACUCGCGGCUUAUUAGCUUGUUGGUGUGGUAGCUGCUUACCAAGGAAUCGACGGGUGGCCGGCCUGAGAGGGUGACAGGCCCCAGUGGGAUUGGGGAAGGGCCCGGAGUCAUACGGGAGGAAGCGGUGGGAAUUUGUCCACGAUGGGCGGAGGCCGGAAGCAGCAACGCCGCGUGCGGGAUGUCGGCCUUCGGGUUGUAAACCGUUUUCGCCUGUGAAGAAGAGUGAGUGACGGUAAUGGGUAAAGAAGCACCGGCUAACUACGUG
rnacentral:rRNA from 1 species